rnacentral:ncRNA from 2 species
ACACGUCCCCACGGGAGCUCGCGGCAGCGGGCUGAGAGGGAGCUGAAUUCCGCUCCGACCGUUACACCUGAUCCGGGUAAUGCCGGCGAAGGAAGCGAUCCGAUGCUGUCC